rnacentral:rRNA from 1 species
AUUGAACGCUGGCGGCAUGCCUUACACAUGCAAGUCGAACGGCAGCACGGGUGCUUGCACCUGGUGGCGAGUGGCGAACGGGUGAGUAAUACAUCGGAACGUACCUUAUCGUGGGGGAUAACGCAGCGAAAGCUGUGCUAAUACCGCAUACGCCCUGAGGGGGAAAGCGGGGGAUCGAAAGACCUCGCGCGAUUAGAGCGGCCGAUGCCUGAUUAGCCUGUUGGUGGGGUAAAAGCCCACCAAGGCGACGAUCAGUAGCUGGUCUGAGAGGACGCUCAGCCACAAUGGGACUGAGAAGCGGCCCAGACUCCUACGGGAGGCAGCAGUGGGGAAUUUUGGACAAUGGGGGCAACCCUGAUCCAGCAAUGCCGCGUGAGUGAAGAAGGCCUUCGGGUUGUAAAGCUCUUUUGUCAGGGAAGAAACACCGGCUCUAACACAGUCCGGGAAUGACGGUACCUGAAGAAUAAGCACCGGCUAACUACGUGCCAGCAGCCGCCGUAA